AGAGCGCUUGGGAAUCUGCGACCGAUCGUCCAGAGAGGGCAGACUACCAGAGCGAGGUUACACAGCGCUGGCCGCGGUGGCGCGCGAACUUGGAAACCUGGGUUGUUGAGUGGGUCGGCAGGAAGGUGUUUUGGCUGCGUUCACUGUGGGGGUUCUUGCCUCUAGGAUCGGGUGCCCCCUCCCGGUGACCCGCUUCCUGGAGAACCCUUGUUUUGGGCAGCAGUACCUGGCUGGCUAUCGCAUCUCUGGAAUUCGUGGCCGGGCACCUGUCCUCCCUCUGACUGGGGCUCUGUCCGUGCUUCUCCCUAAGCCCGUUUUUCUACCCGCACAAUCGGGACCACAUAGCAUCUACCUCCUUAAGAAAACGAAGAGAUAAAGAGUAGAGGGUUUGUGCUGCUUGGACUCCCACCAACUACAGCUACUGGCCCAGAGGAGAUCCGCCAUGACCCAUGCUGCAGGAAUUGGCUUCCUGGCUAAGAUAGGCAGAGGAAAGCAGCAAUAACAACAACAACAACAGGACCCCAGGGAGAACGCUCAGAUGAAGAGCUUGCCACGUGAAUUGAGGACUGGAGUUCUGAUGCCCAGAACUUAUGCAAACCAGGUGAGGUGCUGUGAGUCUGUAAUCCUGGCACUCCACAGCCAGAUGGGAGGUGGAGACAGGGGGCUUAGGCACCAGCUAGUCCUUCAAUCGCAGACGGUGACGACGAGAGAGCCCGUCUCAAGCAAGCAGACGCUGAGGGCAAA